GGGGAUGAACAGGUUUCGAUUGCGAAUGCGCGAAAAGAUAAGCAUGUCGGUGAACGAGUGGCACCGUAAAAACAUUCGGCUUAAAUUUAAAUGCAGAUCAUUCUGUAAACAGCGCUAAUUACGCUUACGCUGCCUAGUUGCAGCUUGUCUCCCUCCGUUCUCACCGCCGGAGUGUGAGGCAUCAUUCAGGUGAAAUCUCCCUUAUUGUUUCGAAAGCGGCAAUAAACGGAACUUCAGCUUUCUGCGUGUUUGCUCCCCUGUCGAUCGGGGUAGCAAGCAUUAAGAAUCGUAGAUCGCACUAAGCAUGUAGAAGGUCUUUUGGCAAAUUCGUAAGACCGGAGUUCGAGUCUCCGCAUCUCCACCA
rnacentral:tmRNA from 1 species